UAACUGUGGAAUUGCCUUUGAUACUGCUCACCUUGAGUCCAGCUGAGGUAGGCGGAAUGUAGUAUGUAGCGGUGAAAUGCUUAGAUAUACUACAGAACACCGAUUGCGAAGGCAGCUUACCAAACUGGCACUGACGCUCAGGCACGAAAGCGUGGGGAGCGAACAGGAUUAGAUACCCUGGUAGUCCACGCCGUAAACGUUGAUCACUCGUUGUUGGCAAUACACCGUCAGCGACCUAGCUAAUGCGCUAAGUGAUCCACCUGGGGAGUACGAUCGCAAGGUUGAAACUCAAAGGAAUUGACGGGGGCCCGCACAAGCGGAGGAGCAUGUGGUUUAAUUCGAUGAUACGCGAGGAACCUUACCUGGGCUUAAAUGUAGUGUGCAUUCCCGUGAAAACGGGAUUUCCUUCGGGACCCACUACAAGGUGCUGCAUGGUUGUCGUCAGCUCGUGCCGUGAGGUGUCGGGUUAAGUCCCAUAACGAGCGCAACCCCUAUCUUUAGUUGCUAACAGGUCAUGCUGAGGACUCUAAAGAAACUGCCCGCGCAAGCGGUGAGGAAGGUGGGGAUGACGUCAAAUCAGCACGGCCCUUAUGUCCAGGGCUACACACGUGCUACAAUGGCAGGUACAGUGGGCAGCUAUCACGCAAGUGAAUGCUAAUCUCUAAAACCUGUCUCAGUCCGGAUUGGAGUCUGCAACCCGACUCCAUGAAGCUGGAUUCGCUAGUAAUCGCACAUCAGCCAUGGUGCGGUGAAUACGUUCCCGGGCCUUGUACACACCGCCCGUCAAGCCAUGGAAGCUGGGAGUACCUGAAGUCUGUAACCGCAAGGAGCGGCCUAGGGUAAAACCGCUAACUGGGACUAAGUCGGAACAAG
rnacentral:rRNA from 1 species